rnacentral:rRNA from 1 species
GAGAUAAAUCAUACUGGUUCGUCAAAGCCUGAUCUCGUUAGAUCUCAGAAGCGAAGCAGGGCAGGGUCUGGGUAGUACUUGGAGGGGAGAUGGCUGAGAAUAUGAGGUCCCA